UAAGCAGUUUGAUUAAGCUGAGUAUAUAUAAUUCAGCCUUGCUUUCAUCUGAAAAUAGAAAUUUACUUUGCUGUUGUGUGCAUUGUUGCUGCAGCCAACAUUCCAUUGCUUUCAAAAUGGUGAAAAGGUAUUUGAGGUUGAUUUAUACGAAUUGCGCAUUGCUUUUGAACAGCUCUACAGUUAUGUCGUCCCAGUCGGAACCACUCAACCUACGGGUUCAUCUGGGAUGGAGGAAAGGAGAGCUGAACAACUUGUCAUACAAGCUAAGAAAGAAGAGAAUGACAAAGAAGUUGCAGGAGGGUUCAAAUUGGGAAGUGGGAGGGCAUUAUCGCAACGGAAAGGUGCUGCGACCUUGUCACAACAGAGAGGUGGCCUUGUUGAGGCAGUUGAGAGUAGUACUGCACCUUCACUUCAUGAUGUGAUGCAGGCUGUUGAAUCUUUACCUGGAGGACGUUCUGAUAGUCUUUUGUGGUGGUAUGCAAGAGGGGUGUUUAAAGGUCAGCCUAAGAAGAGAGAUGUUUUCUAACAUACAGGGUCUUUACUUCAAGGUUGCUUGGCUUCUUCGUGAAAUUGCUAAGGAAUAAGUUGGAUGGAUUCACUUCAGUUAUGAAAAUGCUGUUGACAUUAUUGCUUGGAUUUGGUUGACAUUAUUGCUUGGAUUUGGUUGA